GAGCACGUAGGUGGGUUUGUAAGUCGGAUGUGAAAGCCCCUGGCUCAACCAAGGAACUGCAUUUGAUACUGUGAGGCUUGAGGACAGGAGGGGAGAGUGGAACUUCUGGUGGAGCGGUGAAAUGCGUAGAUAUCAGAAGGAACGCCGGCGGCGAAAGCGAUUCUCUGGCCUAUAACUGACACUGAGUGUGCGAAAGCUAGGGGAGCAAACGGGAUUAGAUACCCCGGUAGUCCUAGCCGUAAACGAUGGGCACUAAGUAGAGGGGUUU
rnacentral:rRNA from 1 species